GCCAGAGUCCCGGGUCCUGAUUCCUGGCCUCCCGGGCUCUAACGCCAAAACCUUAGGCGAGAGUCACACCCUCUUCGUCAAGGCCAACCGGAGAGCCCCAUCCCUGGCCACCUGAGUCAGGCUUCCCCAGAAACUCCUGUGUCUGUCGCCUCAGAUGACCCCAGCCCCGCAAGCUCUCUGCCAGACUGACUGCCGGGAGUUCUAAGGUGAACCCCACAGGAAAAGAGGAAGUUCUGCAGCUGAGUGCUGGGCAGAGGCCUCACCCUGCUGGAGCCCGGGAUGGGGUGAGGUGGGAGCAGAAGGAGCCAUGCAGCAUUUCAGAGAGUGGUGAGGAUUAUGUGAGCUGACCCACGGAAGUGUACUGACGGCAUUCCCCACGUGUUCUGGAGGCACACAGGUGAUCGGUGUGAUAGAAGGAGCUUCAGGAUGUGUGACAGAGACCGGGCUCACCCAGCAAAUGGGGCAGGGUAAUUCCUUGCUGACCCUCCUUCCCCCGCCGGUUUCCAGAGCCACGGGCUGCCAGAUCCCACAGGGCCUUUCCACCUGCCGGCUUUCUUGGAGGAGUGGAGCAGGGGGAGACUUAGACCCCGGCCUGGGGGCGCCUAGGCUCUGCAUCCACACAGCUCCUUUGUGACCCCGUGGGCCAGGUGUGCCUAGGUUUGAACCCAGGCAAGUAAUUUCUCCUGUUGUGAAUAUGCAACUGUUAAGUGCAGCAACCUAGUACAGUGCCCUGUUCAUAGUACGUUCUCGGUAUAUAUAAGUUUUGGCUCUCUGCUGUUGAAACAUAAGC